GAGCGAACCGAAUUAGAUACCCCGGGUAGUCCACGCCGUAAACGAUGGAUACUAGCUGUUGGAGGUAUCGACCCCUUCAGUAGCGAAGCUAACGCGUUAAGUAUCCCGCCUGUGGAGUACGGCCGCAAGGCUAAAACAUAAAGGAAUUGACGGGGACCCGCACAAGCGGUGGAUUAUGUUCUUUAAUUCGAUGAUAACCGAAGAACCUUACCAGGGCUUGACAUCCAGGGAAGGUCUGCGAAAGUAGACUGUGCCUUUUGGAACCCUGUGACAGGUGAUGCAUGGCCGUCGUCAGCUCGUGUCGUGAGAUGUUGGGUUAAGUCCUUCAACGAGCGCAACCCUUGUGAAUAGUUGUAUUUUUCUAUUCAGACUGCCCCGGUAACGGGGAGGAAGGAGGGGAUGAUGUCAGGUCAGUAUUUCCCUUACGUCCUGGGCUAGAAACGUAAUACAAUGGCUAGUACAAUGCGCAGCGAAGCCGCGAGGUGAAGCAAAUCGCAUCAAAGCUAGUCCCAGUUCGGAUUGUAGGCUGAAACUCGCCUGCAUGAAGUCGGAAUCGCUAGUAAUCGCAAAUCAGCAAGUUGCGGUGAAUACGUUCCCGGGUCUUGUACACACCGCCCGUCAAACCAUGAAAGUGACCAACACCCGAAGUCCGAUUCGUCGGCCUAAGGUGGGGGGCAUGAUUGGG
rnacentral:rRNA from 1 species